AUUGAACGCUGUCGGCAGGCCUAACACAUGCAAGUCGAGCGAGCGGCGGACGGGUGAGUAAUGUCUGGGAGACUGCCCGAUGUAGGGGGAUAACUACUCUAGACCGUAUCUAAUACCGCAUACCCUCAGAUGUGCCCAGAUGGGAUUAGCUCGUGGGGGGGGUAACGGCUCACCUCGGCGACGAUCCCUAGCUGGUCUGAGAGGAUGACCAGCCACACUGGAACGGAGACACGGGCCAGACUCCUACGGGAGGCAGCAGUGGGGAAUAUUGAACAAUGGGCGCAAGCCUGAUGCAGCCAGGCCGCGUGUGUGAAGAAGGCCUUCGGGUUGUAAAGCACUUUCAGCGGGGAGGCGUUACCCGCAGAAGAAGCACCGGCUAACUCCGUGCCAGCCGCCGCGGUAAUUC
rnacentral:rRNA from 1 species